AGAGUUUGAUCAUGGGGCUCAGAAUGAACGUUGGCGGCAUGGAUUAGGCAUGCAAGUCGCGCGAGAAGUUAAAACUGCUUGCAGUUUUGAUGGACAGCGGCGCAAGGGAGAGUAACGCGUGGAUAUCUGCCCCUAGACUCGGGAUAGCAGCGGGAAACUGCUGGUAAUACCGAAUAAUGUCUCCGGACCAAAGGUGUGAUUCCGUCUAGGGAUGAGUCCGCGUCCUAUUAGCUUGUUGGUGGGGUAAUGGCCUACCAAGGCUAUGAUGGGUACCGGGUGUGAGAGCAUGGCCCGGCUCACUGGGACUGAGACACUGCCCAGACACCUACGGGUGGCUGCAGUCGAGAAUCUUCGGCAAUGGGCGCAAGCCUGACCGAGCGAUGCCGCGUGCGGGAUGAAGGCCUUCGGGUUGUAAACCGCUGUCAGUGGGGAUGAAAUGCAUAGAGGUUAUCCUCUAUGUUUGACAUAUCUUCAGAGGAAGUACGGGCUAAGUUCGUGCCAGCAGCCGCGGUAAGACGAACCGUACAAACGUUAUUCGGAAUCACUGGGCUUAAAGGGUGCGUAGGCGGCGUGACAAGUUGGGUGUGAAAUCCCUCGGCUCAACCGGGGAACUGCGCCCAAAACUGUCAUGCUAGAGGGAGAUAGAGGUGAGCGGAACUUAGGGGUGGAGCGGUGAAAUGCGUUGAUAUCCUAAGGAACACCUGUGGCGAAAGCGGCUCACUGGAUCUCUUCUGACGCUGAGGCACGAAAGCUAGGGUAGCGAACGGGAUUAGAUACCCCGGUAGUCCUAGCUGU
rnacentral:rRNA from 1 species